rnacentral:pre_miRNA from 1 species
AGGGGGAGUGCUGGGUCCUGGGCUGUAUCCCCUGGGCCCUGGGCUUCCCGGCCUGCCCCGCUGGAAUCGCACGCCAGGGCCGCGCAGCCCCCU